rnacentral:rRNA from 1 species
CGAACGGGUGAGUAACGCGUAAGUAACCUGCCCUGGAGUGGGGGACAACAGUUGGAAACGACUGCUAAUACCGCAUAAGCCCACGGAUCCGCAUGGAUCUGCGGGAAAAGGAUUUAUUCGCUUCAGGAUGGACUCGCGUCCAAUUAGCUAGUUGGUGAGGUAACGGCCCACCAAGGCGACGAUUGGUAGCCGGACUGAGAGGUUGAACGGCCACAUUGGGACUGAGACACGGCCCAG